UUAAUAGUAAUUAUGAGAAAGAGCACAAAAUAGAAGCACAAUUCGGUAGAAAUUGCGGCAAAAAAAUUAAACUAAAAGUGUGUAAGUGAUAAAAGGCGACGACGGCUAUUUAGAUAUCACAUUUUUGCUUUUAAAUAUAAAGCGUAAUUACAAAAUUUUACUUCAAUGAAAGAUUGGCUUUGGAGUGACAAUGGAAAAAAUGUAUGUAUUGCCAAUGCCAACUCCAAGUGCUCACUUCACACUUUCCAAAAUGCUUUACAGCAGCAACGUGAAUAACUUCGCUAACGUUUGUGUAUGCUGGAGAAUGUCUUCAUUAACACAACUAUCGGCGAGUUCAGUGAGAUAAUCUUUCAGUUCACCAAGGCAAAGUUGUACACCGGCGCAUGAAGCAGGCUCAAAUCUGUUAGUGCCUUGUUCAAAACUACAUCUUGUUAUACUUAUUUUAUCGAGUUGGGACUUUUUUGUGGGAUAUGAACUGUGAGUUGGUUACGCAGCUUUAAGACAAAUAGUUCCAACAAAUUAAUUAAAUGUUAAUUUAUGAGAAUUAAAAGAAAAAUAUAUCGCGAAAAAUAAGAGAAAAAAAAUUUAGCCUAAAGACGACAUGUGACUAUAUAGAUGUCACUUUGUACAUACUGAUUUUGGAAACGGAGAUAAAUUACUAUGCGAAUGAAAGCUGGCAAAAAGCGUCAUCGAAUUUUCAUCAAGCACAGCUACAAUACGGCGUAACAGUAACUAAUUUUCGAAGCGGUCAAAAUGUUGUGCAAUAAAAACAUAUUAUAUUAAUAAUGUAGCGGUGAGUGUAAUAAGCAAAAGUUAUUUCAUUUCAUUAAAAAAAAAAAAAAAAUUGUAUUACAACUAAGAUAUCUAACUAAGUUGGAAAUCCACAAACAGUUUCCCCGAAAUAGUUUAAAUGAUUAAUGUUAAGUUUUAAUAUUUAAGCAGAUUUUUACAUCGCAAGACAUCUGCUAUGUGCAGAAAGGUUUAUCGGAGAUCGUACAAAAUAUUCUCCAUUUCUCCAGCGGAAAACGUUACCAUGUUCUUUUUUUUUUAGGUAGAACUUUUGCAGUUAAAACUAACGAGAAUAUUUUUGCGAUUCCAUAUCAGAUUCAUUUCAAGAAAUAUGCAUCAAAGACGUUGUAAAGGGUAUACGUUUUUGGUCAGCGGCAGAGAGUUCUCUUCGCCUAUUUGUUGUUGUUCUUAAUUUCACUUAAGAGAUCGUGGUUAAAAUUAAACGUAAUGUAGCGGUGUGUGUAGUGAAUAGAAAUUAAUUGAUCUCAUCAAAAAGAACUACUUUUAGAACCAAGAAAUUAAAGUUACUACAGUUAUAGCACUGAUUAUGCACUGUUUAUUAACUUUUGGUCGUUUCUAUGACAAAAGAAAGAUAAUUCCUUUUUCUUUGAAUUACUAUCGUCAUAGCUUUCUUUCUGUUAUUUAUUUUGAAAAAAUGAAAGGGAAAUGCGGGAGAUAAGCUUGACGUUAAUUUGUUUAAAAGUAAGCAGCAAUAUGUAAACAACGCCAAAAGCAUAUAGUCAUACAAAAUUUAGAAGUAACAAAAUAAAAUAGAGCGAAAUAAUAACAAUUUUUAAGAAAAAACCAUAAUAUAAGCUCAAGUCCAAACUAGGAAGUUCUGAAAUUUAAUAUCAGACCAUCGUUGUUGUUAUAGAAAAUACUAAAAAAGAAUCGAUCGGCAUCAAUUAAAACUUCUAUAGCAUACUAACUUCAUUUUGGCUUUGAAAAUAUGGAUGUGAAACCGUUGCAACAUUUUGUGUUUUGUGUUUGUAUGCAUUAGAAGCUCAAUUACCACAGAUGCGUUCUUUAUAAAAUAAUUUAUAUAAAUUGUAUUUGCAUUGAUUAGCAGCUUACUUUUGCUUCUUUUCACUCAAGCAAAAUAGAUUUUUGUGUCUUAUUAUCGAACCUGUUGUGAUACCAGGACUGUACCCAAUUAUAAGAACGAAAUUCAGAAUCGCUCUUUCGAAUUUCAGAAUUGUUGUUUUCGAAAUGGAGGCAUGGAAGAUCUUGAACGUAAAGUUGGAAAGCGUAUUUCCAACGCAUCUAUCUUCGGAAAUAUCUCGUUCUUAUAAUUAAUUGGGGCAAUUGAAGCUAAAAGCGAUGUGUCGCUGUAUUAUUAAUAAAUCGCAGGAAAUGAGCUGGCUUUUGCUCACCAAUUACAUGAGUGGAUAGCAAGCGGCGCAAUUUCCUUUCUUCGGACUAGGCAAACGUAGUUAUUAUUUUCGAGUUGAGGGGUUCAUAUUUGUAAUGCCCGUGUGGCGGAUUUAGUAUUACCUGCGACACGAAUUGUAAGGUUGUGAGGUCCAUGUUGCUGAGGAUCUGGUCGAAUUUUGUUUCAGCCACUGUUAUCUUGUUCACUUGGAGGACUGCAUCCACUUGAACGAACUAUAGUUCCGGGUCCAACUUUCAGGACUAGAGUAUCUUGAUUGAAGUUGCUGGAUUCACUUGUGCUGAAAUAUCCUUGUUCUACUGGGUAUGGCUCAAUGAUGUGAUGACUUCGCUUCGCUAUUGUGCAUCUCGUCUUGUGCUUUUUUCUUUGGGGUCGCCCAUUGUUGAUAAUGUUUUUUGUAAAUUACAAAAUUCGAAAGAGACUGCAAUAGUUUUUGGCAUGUCGCAGUUGUUUUUGAGUUCGUUGCAAACAAGAGCCGGCGGACUGCUAACCAAUCUUUGUAACGGUUCUAGCUCUGCAGUCCGGUAGAGCAAAUUCAUUGAAGAGCUUAACUUUCUGAGCCGCAUUACAAAGAAAGAGAAAGA